AUUGAACGCUGGCGGCAGGCCUAACACAUGCAAGUCGAGCGAGCGGCGGACGGGUGAGGAAUGUAUGGGGACUGCCCGAUAGAGGGGGAGAACUAAUGGAAACGGUGGCUAAUACAGCGUACUGCCGGAUAACCCAUAUGGGAUUAGCUAGUAGGUAAGGGAAUGGCUUACAGAGGCGACGAUCCCUAGCUGGUCUGAGAGGAUGAUCAGCCACACUGGGACUGAGACACGGCCCAGACUCCUACGGAGGCAGCAGUGGGGAAUAUUGCACAAUGGGCGCAAGCCUGAUGCAGCCAUGCCGCGUGUAUGAAGAAGGCCUUAGGAUUGUAAAGUACUUUCAGUCGGGAGGCGUUACCGACAGAAGAAGCACCGGCUAACUCCGUGCCAGCAGCCGCGGUAAUAC
rnacentral:rRNA from 1 species